AGAGUUUGAUCCUGGCUCAGGACGAACGCUGGCGGCGUGCCUAACACAUGCAAGUCGAGCGAGUUGAUUCUCUUCGGAGAUGAAGCUAGCGGCGGACGGGUGAGUAACACGUGGGCAACCUGCCUCAUAGAGGGGAAUAGCCUCCCGAAAGGGAGAUUAAUACCGCAUAAGAUUGUAGCUUCGCAUGAAGUAGCAAUUAAAGGAGCAAUCCGCUAUGAGAUGGGCCCGCGGCGCAUUAGCUAGUUGGUGAGGUAACGGCUCACCAAGGCGACGAUGCGUAGCCGACCUGAGAGGGUGAUCGGCCACAUUGGGACUGAGACACGGUCCAGACUCCUACGGGAGGCAGCAGUGGGGAAUAUUGCACAAUGGGCGCAAGCCUGAUGCAGCCAUGCCGCGUGUGUGAAGAAGGCCUUCGGGUUGUAAAGCACUUUCAGCGGGGAGGAAGGCGGUGAGGUUAAUAACCUCAUCGAUUGACGUUACCCGCAGAAGAAGCACCGGCUAACUCCGUGCCAGCAGCCGCGGUAAUACGGAGGGUGCAAGCGUUAAUCGGAAUUACUGGGCGUAAAGCGCACGCAGGCGGUCUGUCAAGUCGGAUGUGAAAUCCCCGGGCUCAACCUGGGAACUGCAUUCGAAACUGGCAGGCUAGAGUCUUGUAGAGGGGGGUAGAAUUCCAGGUGUAGCGGUGAAAUGCGUAGAGAUCUGGAGGAAUACCGGUGGCGAAGGCGGCCCCCUGGACAAAGACUGACGCUCAGGUGCGAAAGCGUGGGGAGCAAACAGGAUUAGAUACCCUGGUAGUCCACGCCGUAAACGAUGUCGAUUUGGAGGUUGUGCCCUUGAGGCGUGGCUUCCGGGAGCUAACACGUUAAAUCGACCGCCUGGGGAGUACGGCCGCAAGGUUAAAACUCAAAUGAUAUUGACGGGGGCCCGCACAAGCGGUGGAGCAUGUGGUUUAAUUCGAUGCAACGCGAAGAACCUUACCUGGUCUUGACAUCCACAGAACUUAGCAGAGAUGCUUUGGUGCCUUCGGGAACUGUGAGACAGGUGCUGCAUGGCUGUCGUCAGCUCGUGUUGUGAAAUGUUGGGUUAAGUCCCGCAACGAGCGCAACCCUUAUCCUUUGUUGCCAGCGGUUAGGCCGGGAACUCAAAGGAGACUGCCAGUGAUAAACUGGAGGAAGGUGGGGAUGACGUCAAGUCAUCAUGGCCCUUACGACCAGGGCUACACACGUGCUACAAUGGCAAGUACAAAAAGAAGCAAGACCGCGAGGUGGAGCAAAACUCAAAAACUUGUCUCAGUUCGGAUUGUAGGCUGAAACUCGCCUACAUGAAGCUGGAGUUGCUAGUAAUCGCGAAUCAGCAUGUCGCGGUGAAAACGUUCCCGGGCCUUGCACACACCGCCCGUCA
rnacentral:rRNA from 1 species